CGGGAUCCGAAAAGGCUGUGCUUCUGCCUCGGUCUGUGCUUCUGGAGGUUUUUUUUCUUUUAACUAUGGCUCCCAGUCUAACUUCAGAAACACCACGUGCUGCGACACAGACGACUGCAACGCUCUGGACCCGUCCCUGCCCCCUGCUGGCUCUCUGCAGUGUUACGGCUGUGACCCAUACACAGAAGAAUGUUCUGCAAAUGUGACCUGCAACACCCUGGAGACCUGCUCCUCUGUCUCUGACGGGACCUACAGUUUUUACGGAUGUGUCUCUGAGAAUCUGUGUGACAACCUCACCCUCUCCCAAAGAUACUUUUACACCAGAAAUCCAUUCUCCUGCUGCAGCACAAGCCACUGCAACGUCCCUCAGUCCCUGCUCAUAUCCACAGACACGCCGCCAGUCACCACAGAGGCCCCGCCCUCCUCAGACUCGAAGGAGGACCAGGAUUUUUCAGUGUUUUCAGGAGCUGUGCAGGUUCUGUCUCCAGCUCUGCUCCUGUCUCUGCUGCUGCCCUGUGUUCACAUGUUUAACUUUAUUGUGUAAGAUUCUAUGGGUGGGGAUAGGAGGAAGUUGAAAAUGGAAAUUUUCUGAGCUCUCAAGCCUCAAAAGAAUCAGAAUACAACUGAGUAAGAUAAUGAGAAAACACUGUUCUAACAUGUUCAAAGCUCAUAUGUUGAUUUAGCAGAAUGUGCCUUCUUUAUUAACAAUAGUGGUUUUCACAGCAGGGUUUUGUUCUGGGUGUGUGGAGAGUCAUUACGUCUUUAAUUAUUUGUAUUGCAUGUUUGUGUAUCUUUGAGCUCUUUGGUUUUAAAAUGUAAAGUGUGUGACAAAUAAAAGAUAUUUCUACUG